AAGACUAUAGACCUGCGGAGUACCUGCGGAGGGAUCAUUAUCGAGUGUAACCUACCCCGUAAAAAAGGGUGGUACCUCCCGUCCUUUGCAGGCCCCCCUUUUGAUGGGGGGCUUUUUAAGACUUUCUGCUUCGGCGGGGUUACUCCCGCCGGAACACCCUCAAAAAACUCUUGAUCAAAAACCGUUCAGUCCGAGAAUUUUUGAAAAUUAAAAAAAAAACUUUUAACAACGGAUCUCUAG
rnacentral:misc_RNA from 1 species